CCUACGGGAGGCAGCAGUGGGGAAUAUUGCACAAUGGGGGAAACCCUGAUGCAGCGACGCCGCGUGAGUGAAGAAGUAUUUCGGUAUGUAAAGCUCUAUCAGCAGGGAAGAAACCCACCCUCCGGGGUGGCUGACGGUACCUGACUAAGAAGCCCCGGCUAACUACGUGCCAGCAGCCGCGGUAAUACGUAGGGGGCAAGCGUUAUCCGGAAUUACUGGGUGUAAAGGGAGCGUAGACGGUAAUGCAAGUCUGGAGUGAAAGGCGGGGGCCCACCCCCCGGACUGCUCUGGAAACUGUGUAACUGGAGUGCAGGAGAGGCAGGCGGAAUUCCUAGUGUAGCGGUGAAAUGCGUAGAUAUUAGGAGGAACACCAGUGGCGAAGGCGGCCUGCUGGACUGUAACUGACGUUGAGGCUCGAAAGCGUGGGGAGCAAACAGGAUUAGAUACCCCUGUAGUC
rnacentral:rRNA from 1 species